UUUUUUUUUUUUUUUUUUUCCCCUUUCUCAGACGAAGUCUCGCCCUUAUCGCUCGGGCUGGAGUGCAGUGGCGCGAUCUUGGCUCACUGCAAGCCCUGCCUCCCGGGUUCAAGCGAUUCUCCUGCCUCAGCCUCCUGAGUAGCUGAGGCAGGAAAAUAGCUUGAACCCGGGAGGCGGAGGCUGCCAUGAGCCGAGACCACACCAUUGCACUCCAGUCUAGGCAACAAGAGUGAAACUCUGUCUCAAAAAACUAGAUAGAUAAAUAAAUAAAUCAUAUAGUGUUAAUUUGGGAUUAUACUGUAUGCCAAAAAAUAAAGUUCAUACAUUUAUAGAACUAGAAGUAAGGCCAGGUAUGGUGCUUCAUGCCCGUAAUCCCAGUACCUUUUGGGUGACUGAGGCAGGAGGAUUGCUUGAGCCCAGGAAUUUGAGACCAGCUUAGACAACAUAGUGAGACCCUGUCUCUACCAAACAUUAAAAGAAAAAAGAAUUAGCUGGGCAUAGUGGCACUGCCUGUGGUCCCAGCUACUUGGGAGGCUGAGGUGAGAGGAUCCGCUUGAGCCCAGGAGGUCGAGGCUGCCUUGAGCUGUGGUAGGGCCACUGCACCCCAGCCUGGGUGACAGAGCAAGACUGCAUCUCUAAAAGAGAAGACAGACACAGAAGGUAGAGAAAUCCCAAUGAGUAAUAUUGCCCCUUUCUUAAAAAGUAUAAUCGUUUAGUAGGAAAAUGAGAAAGUUUGAAAGAGUAUUUUUUAACCUAAAUGAAAUCAUAAAUUGCUUUAAGAGGCUCUUUCAUUUCAUUUUUAAUUGCCAAAACACUUUUCUCAAGUUUGAAAAUACCUAAAAGCCAUAUUAUUUUAAUAGAGUCAUUAGUUUUACACAGUUAUUCUUGAUCCCUCUUUCUCCCUCACUUGCCACAGUCAGUCCUUUAUAAAGUAGUGCUGAUUCUAUUGCCUUCACAUUGCUCUAAUCUGAACCUCUUUGUUCUCUUCAACCGCUGCUGUAGUUUAAGCCUGGGUUUGCAAACUAGCAACUCAAGGGCCACCUUCAGCCUACACACAAGCUGUGUUUGGCCUGUGCAAAGUUGAAAGUUUAAAAAAUGUGUUGCCAACGUUUAAAAAUUUGGAAGUUGUGCUUAAAAAUGCAGCUCUUAGCUUCUUUUAAAAAAUCAAAAUAUCAUAGCUAGGUGUGGUGGCUCGCACCUGCAGUCCCAGCUAUUCAGGAGACUGAGGAAGGAGGCCUGCUUGAGCCCAGGAGUUCCAGGCUGCAGGGAGCUAUGAUUGCGCCACUGCACCCCAACCUGGGCGACAGAGAGAGACCCCGUCUUUGAAAAAGAAAAAAGAGAAACCAGAACAUCUGGCAACCCUAGGCCCACAUGUUUCUUUCAACUGGUUCGCUUCACUUCUUAAGGACGACCAGUCUCCUCUAUCCAGCCUUCCACCCUUACCUCAAUAUAGUGCUAUAUCUUCCCCAUCUCCUGUCCACAUUGUCAAAAGUGGUUUUCUCAUCGGAUUCGAUCAAAUCACUUCUUGAUUUGCAUAUACUUGAUUUGCUGAUUGUUUUCAGGAUACAAUCCAAACUCCUGAACAUGGCGUUUCACGACCUGGUUUCCCCACACCAGAACGCCCACCCCACGCUGCUGCUCACUCCGUCCCAGCUCCGGCUGCCAGCACCUGCCGUCCCCAGACCGCACUUCCUUCCUUCCCUCUGCCGUGCUGCUCUCUCCGCCUUCUCUUCUCGCUCCUGGCUCACCCGUACUCAGCCUUCAGAACUCUGCGCUGACAUCCCUCUCCCGAGAGCCCCCAGAAGCCUUUCUCCCCCGCCGUUUCACGAUCCCAGAGCAACCUGUGCUCUUACUUGCGAGCGCUUCAUUUAAAUGCUCGAGAUCUCCAAACACCAGCGGCGGACAUUAGGCCAGGGCGGGCUAGGUGGGGUUAAUCGUGCCGGGAUUAGAGCAGCGUUAUUGCCUAGUCUACAUCUCGGACUGAGUUCGGUCCCCAGCGUGUAAUGUGACGCGGGUAAAUACGGGCCCGCCCCGGCACGGAUCCCUGAGACCACCAUCCCCGCCGCUCGCGAGCCGGCCCCGC
ensembl:lncRNA